rnacentral:tRNA from 2 species
CAGAAUGUAGCUUAUUUAUUAAAGUUAUUUAUUUACAUUAAAUAGAAAAUUGUCUCCAUAUUCUUUCUGA